UUAUAUCAGUUCAAGCUGCCAGCAUGAUCUAACCUUAACCUCUCCUAAUUUUUAAUUUUUAAUUUUGUAAAUAUUGAGGUUAAUGAUCAGAUCAUAUGGCAGUUUUACCUGUUAUUG